rnacentral:lncRNA from 1 species
AUUUUAUUAAUAGGCUUAAUUAUUCUUUUGAUUCAUUAUUCUGGUGACUGAGAUAGAGCAGACAUAGAUGGAACCAUUCAUUUCAUGAAGGAGAACACUCCGCAUUAUCAUCUUCAGAUUGACUUAUAGGCAGAGACUGACUGAAAGACCAUAUGAUGUCCUGAAAAUUCUUCCACAAUAUUUAACCAACACUUUCCAGAAAAACUUCAUUUAUCUCCAUGUACCAAUGUUUUGGGGUCCAGCCCAAUUCCU